rnacentral:rRNA from 1 species
AGAGUUUGAUCCUGGCUCAGAUUGAACGCUGGCGGCAGGCCUAACACAUGCAAGUCGAACGGUAGCACAGAGGAGCUUGCUCCUUGGGUGACGAGUGGCGGACGGGUGAGUAAUGUCUGGGAAACUGCCCGAUGGAGGGGGAUAACUACUGGAAACGGUAGCUAAUACCGCAUAACGUCGCAAGACCAAAGAGGGGGACCUUCGGGCCUCUUGCCAUCGGAUGUGCCCAGAUGGGAUUAGCUAGUAGGUGGGGUAACGGCUCACCUAGGCGACGAUCCCUAGCUGGUCUGAGAGGAUGACCAGCCACACUGGAACUGAGACACGGUCCAGACUCCUACGGGAGGCAGCAGUGGGGAAUAUUGCACAAUGGGCGCAAGCCUGAUGCAGCCAUGCCGCGUGUAUGAAGAAGGCCUUCGGGUUGUAAAGUACUUUCAGCGAGGAGGAAGGCGUUGUGGUUAAUAACCGCAACGAUUGACGUUACUCGCAGAAGAAGCACCGGCUAACUCCGUGCCAGCCGCCGCGGUAA